GACGAACGCUGGCGGCGUGCCUAAUACAUGCAAGUUGAACGCAACAAAGACACCAGAGCUUGCUCUACCGUCUUUGUUGAGUAGCGAACGGGUGAGUAACGCGUGGGUAACCUGCCUUAUAGCGGGGGAUAACUAUUGGAAACGAUAGCUAAUACCGCAUAACAAUAGAGAUUGCAUAAUCUUUAUUUGAAAGUGCCAACUGGUACACUAUGAGAUGGACCCGCGUUGUAUUAGCUAGUUGGUAGUGUAAUGGACUACCAAGCGAUGAUACAUAGCCGACCUGAGA
rnacentral:rRNA from 1 species